rnacentral:rRNA from 1 species
AUUGAACGCUGGCGGCAGGCCUAACACAUGCAAGUCGAGCGGAUGAAGGGAGCUUGCUCCUGGAUUCAGCGGCGGACGGGUGAGUAAUGCCUAGGAAUCUGCCUGGUAGUGGGGGAUAACGUCCGGAAACGGGCGCUAAUACCGCAUACGUCCUGAGGGAGAAAGUGGGGGAUCUUUGGACCUCACGCUAUCAGAUGAGCCUAGGUCGGAUUGGCUAGUUGGUGGGGUAAAGGCCUACCAAGGCGACGAUCCGUAACUGGUCUGAGAGGAUGAUCAGUCACACUGGAACUGAGACACGGUCCAGACUCCUACGGGAGGCAGCAGUGGGGAAUAUUGGACAAUGGGCGCAAGCCUGAUCCAACCAUGCCGCGUGUGUGAAGAAGGUCUUCGGAUUGUAAAGCACUUUAAGUUGGGAGGAAGGGCAGUAAGUUAAUACCUUGCUGUUUUGACGUUACCAGCAGAAUAAGCACCGGCUAACUUCGUG